UACGUAGGGUGCGAGCGUUGUCCGGAAUUAUUGGGCGUAAAGGGCUCGUAGGCGGUUUGUCGCGUCGGGAGUGAAAACGCCGUGCUUAACACGGCGCUUGCUUUCGAUACGGGCAGACUAGAGGUAUGCAGGGGAGAACGGAAUUCCUGGUGUAGCGGUGAAAUGCGCAGAUAUCAGGAGGAACACCGGUGGCGAAGGCGGUUCUCUGGGCAUUACCUGGCGCUGAGGAGCGAAAGUGUGGGGAGCGAACAGG
rnacentral:rRNA from 1 species